UACGGGGGGGGCAAGCGUUGUUCGGAAUUACUGGGCGUAAAGGGCGUGUAGGCGGCCAACUAAGUCCGACGUGAAAUCCCCAGGCUUAACCUGGGAACUGCAUUUGUGACUGCAUCGCUAGAGUACGGCAGAGGGGGAUGGAAUUCCGCGUGUAGCAGUGAAAUGCGUAGAUAUGCGGAGGAACACCGAUGGCGAAGGCAAUCCCCUGGGCCUGUACUGACGCUCAUGCACGAAAGCGUGGGGAGCAAACAGG
rnacentral:rRNA from 1 species